AGCGAACGCUGGCGGCAGGCCUAACACAUGCAAGUCGAACGGACCCUUCGGGGUUAGUGGCGGACGGGUGAGUAACACGUGGGAACGUGCCUUUAGGUUCGGAAUAGCUCCUGGAAACGGGUGGUAAUGCCGAAUGUGCCCUUCGGGGGAAAGAUUUAUCGCCUUUAGAGCGGCCCGCGUCUGAUUAGCUAGUUGGUGAGGUAAUGGCUCACCAAGGCGACGAUCAGUAGCUGGUCUGAGAGGAUGACCAGCCACAUUGGGACUGAGACACGGCCCGAACUCCUACGGGAGGCAGCAGUGGGGAAUCUUGCGCAAUGGGCGAAAACCUGACGCAGCCAUGCCGCGUGGAUGAUGAAGGUCUUAGGAUUGUAAAAUCCUUUCACCGGUGAAGAUAAUGACUGUAGCCGGAGAAGAAGCCCCGGCUAACUUCGUGCCAGCAGCCGCCGUAAUAC
rnacentral:rRNA from 1 species